AAAAAAAAAAGCGGGCUCAAUUCGCACCUUAUCAUCUUUGAAAGCCUCCUUAGAAGAGAGAUGAUUUCUAAGGGAGGAGCUGAGCGAAGGCCCCUUUGAAAUCACUGACCCAGAUGAAACGACACCCGAGCCCCUGUGCCCGCUGCAGCCGCUACGGCCACACUGCCCUCCUUUCAGCAGCGUUUUGCUCGGAGGAAAUGAAAGCAUCGGAAAAGGAAACGGGGCUGAAAAGGCUCAGCUCCUAAGCGAGAGGGCUUUUGUUUUCCCAUUGUGCUAGCCCAGCUGAGCCUGUGUUGGAGCAGAGCCCUCCUGCAGCUGGGCCCAAAAACAGCAGCCAAAGAGAAACCCCGGCAACCGUCAGUGCAAAAGGAGAGGGAUGUGCAGAGCCUGCAGCACUCGGCCUCAGUGGGGAGGAGAGGUGAGGGCUGCUCCUACACAUCCGAAGGGUUGCUGGGGCCAAAAGUGUCUUUGGAAAAAUGCUGCUGCACAUUGGUGAUGUGUGAUGUGUGUGAUGCUUUGCAUGUGGAGCUGGAGGUGCAUCUGACAUUUCUGCCAAAAUCCUUCCUCAAAGGCAUGCCUAAAACAACUGGGCACUGCAAGAGUGAGCAUUGUCCAGAGCAGUGCCCUGCUCGCUCGGUGUUGGCACAGGGACAGCACUGCCUCCUCUUUCAGCAGAACAGAUCUGCUGGAAGUGUUAAGCAGUGCUUGAUGCAAAAGCAGCCCCAGACCCACAGGGAUGCUGAACUUUGCCAUAUACCUACUGCAGCUGGGCUCAUGGUCCCCUCUUAGACUCCAUCUGCUUGAGCUGAAGGUAGUGGUGUCUGCUGUGACCAGAAGGGCCACCUCUGAUGUUGAAGCUGCUGUCAGCCCAGCUGGCACAGCAGAGGUGGCAGAAACCUCUUCCUCUCACUUGGGUGAAGCUGUAGAAGGAUGCCUAAGGACUGUGCUUUUCAAGAACCCUGCUGGCCUAACUCUGGAGAGCAUGACAUGACUGAAGCUGGGGACACAAACUCCAGUGCUUAUGGUGAUGUAUUCGUUCCCAGACUGAGGACCUGUCUCCCUGAAUUCUUACUUUAAUGAGACUGUGAUCACAGAAUCAUAGAAUGGCUUGUUUUGGAAAGGACCGCAAAGAUCAUCUAGUUCCAGCCUCUUGUCGUGGGCAGGGUUGUCACCCACUAGAUCAGGUACCAGAUCAUAACAAAAGGAUUCUGACUGCUAACCCUGCUACUUAACACUGCCACUGCUGCUAAUGGCUUUAAGAGCAGAAUAACACUGCUGUUGUCAUUGCCCUGUCAUGCAAAUGUCUGUGAGUGAGGGACCCUGCUUUAGCUUUCCAGUCUAAUAGCAUUUGGUGAAUUUUUGAUGGCCCUUCUUCCUGGAUUUGUCUUAUUGCAUGAAUGUUUUUAUAAAUUUUUUGAGAGAGGGCUUUUACGCUGCAUAAUUACUGAGGGGAAAAAGGCUUGAUCCUUAACGGCUCCCCAAAGUAAAUAAAUUAAAAGAACCGGCACUGGAAAAUUUCUCUUUAUGCUAAUGAUAGGAGAGACUGAUGACUUGGGGCCUCUGAACUCCUGGAGUCAAACAGCAUCGCUUCCACUUCCUGAAAUGAAUUUUUUCUUAGAGGAUCUGCAUGUGUUUUCUCCAGCUGAUUAAGGAUCUACAAUGUUUUAUUCAUGCUCAACCCGGGAUUAUCAGCAGUGUUUUACAUUUCAAACCAACCAUUGCCAAGACUUCCUCAGCUUAGGGACGCUGAGUGCUUCCUCAGCGCAGCUCGGGGCUAUUCCUAGAGAAGGUGGCACAGCUAUUACUGCUUGUUACCCUUGCUCACUAACCUCUGUAAUGAACUGUACAGCCUUUGCUGGCUCGUUUGCCUUUUUUUUUUUUUCUUCUUUCCCUUUUUAACAUUCCCAAAAAUCUAUGGCAAGUGAUCAUCUUUGUAUGAGUCAGUGCUGAAGCAGUGAAGUGUCAGAUUUUAUCCAAAGAAGGAGCUGCACAUCGGCGCAGGGUGCAGCAUUUCUUGGAUAUACAUGAGGAUGUCGAUAGCCAUGUUCAGACAUCCACGGCUGGCCAGGCUGUUUCUGCCUGACCUGAGGCUACAUGGAGCUCUAUGGUGAUCGCUUCCAUUUCCAAAGUGUCACCAUUCCUAUGAGCAGAAAAUUUCCCAGAGGGUCAGAAUGCAGCAAGUUCUGAUCACUAAAGAGAGGGAGGGUCCGUUGCAUUUGCAAAUAAUAAAGUCCCAACUGCUGAAUCUCACUGAAGUCAGUGGUUGCAACAGCGAGUAAUUCAGCUGUCUGAGGGAGAAACAUGGAGAAAAGCCCAUGUCUCCAGCUGCAUGGUUACCACACAGCAAAGAGAGUUAUAUAUUAAAAUUGUGAGACUGUUUAAGCGCUCCGUAAUUAACUGCUGUCUAUUUAACCAGACAGCUAACGCAAGUUAAUUCGCUGUCAGUUAGGAGACUUAUUAAGCAUCCGCAGGUUUUUCUUUUUAACAAUUUACUGGUCCAUCAUUAACUACCCCUAGAUUAUCUUGUCAAAUUGAUAAUUAAAUGCCUCAAAAAUUCAUUACAGACUCAAUAUAUUAAUAGGAAUAUAAUUAAGUAAUGUUUGCUUAUGCGAU